UUCCCCACCUCUCUCUUCCCCGAUCGAUGGUACCUCUGUGUGGCGGCGGCGUCAAGCGCUGACAGCGUCACCUGGAUCUCCUCGAGCCAGGGCCCUCCGCGUGCCAGCACCUUCCCCAUCGCGCGCGAUCUAUCCGCUCCGACGCACGGUGAGCGCGCUGCCGCCGCCUUGUCACCGACGUCCUGAUCCAUCGGCGGCAACAGCGGAUCCUUCUGGCCGGAUCAAGGCGCGGAGACCCGUGGUAUCCCCUCCUUCGGCAGGACCUCCUCAUCUGAUUGCAUUCUUGCACGGAUAGAGAGUGGAACACCACCUUCAGUUUCUCAUCUGAUCCCACUUGUGGACUCCAUGAAUGAAGUAAGAUAACAAUCCAGUGGUCAAUUACAUUGCCUCUUUAGAUGGUUUUUAGUGGGCAUCAGACUUGGUUUAGAUGGCUUUUGUUGUGAAAGAAAACUUAUCUUUCUAAAGACUGUACUCUGAAUCUUACAUCUCAUACUUGAUUUUUUUUUUGCAUAAUUUUUUUUAGGCCUGAUGUGUAUCCAAGGGCAUGGGAGAUUAAAGAUUUGCAUGAGACUGACGAUUGUGAUUUUGGCCCUGUACUGAAUAAUUUUGGGAGCGACUGGGUGAUGAUGAUUACAAGCCAGGAGGACUGCAUGUCUGCAUGUGAUGAGUUAAGGCACAAGAACUACGACCAUUUUAGCUCCAGCAAUAAGUACACAACUAAUCAACAAUGCAUUUUCACGACCCAGACUUCUGAAUUCCGGCUGACAGGCUCGCUGGCACAGCCACAUAAUCUCAUGCAUUCAAAUUGCUAGCUACACGAAAUACGCCCAGAUCUACCAGUAGGAAUCCAAGAAUAGGAAGAACCAUACCAGCAACAUACAUACAUAUUACAGUUCUGCAUUUUAAAUUUGAAGACCAAGGCAAAGCCCGAUCGAUGUAAUUGGAGGCAUUGCAGUCCAAUUGUUCUAGGGAUUGGAACUAGACGUGUGACUGAAUACUGCUUGGAACAUGUGAUUCUACAAAGUUGAGGAAGUUGAGGAAGUAUGGACUCAGAUCCUUUAAGGGUUUGUUUCCAUACUGUGGGGCAGCAGGAUCUGAGUCCCACUAUGAGGGAUCAACCUUCAGAGAUCAGCUACCGGCAUCAUACUGCUCCCACAAGGAUUGACAGCACACGAUGAGAAGAAGACAUGGUUUACCUCAGAGCUGGGGACUACAGAGGAUAGCGUCUUCGUGGAUUCAGAUAAUAAUAAUACUGUAAGCGGGCAAGGGAGAGCAGCGCACGCAGCGAUGGUCAAGGGCUUAGUGCCUAUUGACCUGGUCUGUGGCCGCUGUUGGUCCGUGAAGGAGGCAUGCAUGAGGUGGUGCAAGGGCAUGCUGGUGACAUGCUGGUGACGGAGUCGCGCAUCACGAGGCCGGGUGAGUAACGCUCGGGAACUGCCGGGCGCUCAGACUGACGCGGGAUGGGGUUGGCGCGGUGACUCAAGGAGGAGGAUGUAGUUAUGGGGGAGGGAGUGACGACGGAGGGGCUUCGAUGGCCCGACGAGACCCUACAUCAUAAUCAAGGAGGACCCUACAUCUAAAGGAGACAGAGCAGUUUAUAUCAUUAGUCUAUUACUGGAUUUCUAGAAGAAGGAAAAAGGGAGAAAUGGUUGUUUCUGCUACUCUACAUUCGCUUUAAAAUUGGUGUACAUAUAUCAAGAAGAACUUGGUUGCAAAAGUGAUCAAACAUAACAUUCAACACAAACACAUUGGUUUUGUAAUUAAAUGCCUAAGAUCUUAUAA